CCUCCCCCAUCGAUGCUCUGGUUCACUCACAAAGGUAUCCUUCAAAGAGAGAGACUUGACUGCAGAACAGAGGACGGCAAUGUGACAUCAAAAGAAGACACUGGAGAGUUGUGGCCAGGAGCCAAGGAAUGCUGCCAACCACCUUAGAUGCUAGAAGAGCCAAGGAACAGGUUCUCCUCUGGGGCCCUCAGAAAGAACCACCUCUGUUAACACCUUGAUAUUAGCC
rnacentral:lncRNA from 10 species